CAAAUCAUGGACCAGCAAUGGUCUAUGACGGAGAGGUGGGCUGUACCACGUUGACACAAAUGGAGAAGGGAGAAAGAGCGAGUGAGAGCUCAGGAGGCUGGAUCACACAGAAGCAGCAAAGAAGGCUGUGGGAUGGAGAAUGGAUUGCAGGAGGCAGAGAAGCAGGCCAGCAGGGAUUCUAUGGCAUCAAUCCAGGUGCAAGAUGAUGGCAGUGGAGAGACCAGAAGUGAAAUGCUAUUUAGCAGAUGGGAAAACAGGGACAGAGAGGAAUUUGAACUCAGGAGGUCUGGCUUCAUGAAACUGACCCCUAGAGUGGCGCCAUCUGAUAGAAGUUUCUGCGAUGAUGGAUAUGUUCUGCCUGAUACACUAACCACCCAUGUGGCUACUGGUUGGAUAAGCUCAGCUGGGGAGAACUAAGUUUGAAUGCCAGCUACCUGCUGUGUGACGGUUGCUAAGUCUCUCACCUCUGUUAGUUCCUUUAUGGAAGAAGUGGUUAAAAAGAUUCCAACCAAACCCAA